rnacentral:tRNA from 1 species
GCCAGGCUCAAUUGAGGGGCUAGUGGCCUUCGGGCUGUGCGGGUUCGAGUCCCGCCCUCGGCACCA